rnacentral:rRNA from 1 species
CAGAGGGUGCAAACGUUGUUCGGAAUUACUGGGCGUAAAGCGCGUGUAGGCGGCUGUGUAAGUCGGGCGUGAAAUCCCAUGGCUCAACCAUGGAAGUGCACCCGAAACUGCGUAGCUAGAGUCCUGGAGAGGAAGGUGGAAUGCUUGGUGUAGAGGUGAAAUUCGUAGAUAUCAAGCGGAACACCGGUGGCGAAGGCGGCCUUCUGGACAGUGACUGACGCUGAGACGCGAAAGCGUGGGGAGCAAACAGGAUUAGAUACCCUGGUAGUCCACGCCGUAAACGAUGAGUGCUAGGUGUCACGGGCUUUGACCCUCGUGGUGCCGAAGCUAACGCGUUAAGCACUCCGCCUGGGGAGUACGGCCGCAAGGCUA